AACGGUUAUUUUGGCGGUCCGUCUGAGGAGAUUCUGCCGAUUUAUCAAACUAAAAUAUAAAUGAAGAGAGAGAGAAGGCGUCACUGGAGGUAAAGUUGAUGGAGAGAAACCACAAGCUGAACGGAGAGUUGGAGGUAAAGUUGAUGGAGAGAAACCACGUUCCAGAACCCGCUGUCAUAAGUGUUGAAGAACGUUUUGUUCCGGAUGGGAUUGGGAAU